rnacentral:pre_miRNA from 1 species
AGUGGGAUAGCUGGGUUGAAUGGUGGUUUCAUUCCAAGUUUUCCAAGGAAUGUCCAUAUUGCUUUCCAGAUUGGUUGCACCAAUUUGCCUUCCCACUAGCAAU